GCUAAUUAUCAUGGUGGAGUGAAUAUUGAAUAUUUUGGUAUAGGAGUAAUAACGUUUAUAACAAGCGGCGGACAACUCCUCAUCCUAUGGUGUGAUCUACAAGAGACCGUUGGUGGUGUCUCCUGUGCUCUGCCGGCCCUCCAUCACCCCAGCCUCCCCUCAUCCACUCCUCUGAUUACACCCUGGAUUCUUACAGGACUGGUGGAGCAUGGCUGAUUCUCUCUGACUGUGUUCGACUGCUGAUCUGAGAUAUUUCAGAGGGACGAUUGUCAAGAAGCAGAAAAGCGCCGGUGGCUCCGCUCCAAACACAGUAUCGAACGGCAGCGGGAGACGGCUUCAGCUGAUGAUGGAGGCAGAGCAACCAGGCCAGAGAGGUGGAUCUCUGAGGUCUUUGGAAAACUCCAGGCAGCUGUGGAAAAUCAUGCAGGAGACGAUCCUUGAAGUUGACAAGACGGUAACUGAUCACAUCAAGUUCACUGUGGAAUUUAGACGAUUUGGUUUGAGGGCAGUUGAGGUCUCAGGUGUCAGAGAGCUGCUGUUUUUCAUCAUGGUGUUUCUAAGUUGGCUGACAGCAGAAACAGAAAGAUAUAUCAGUGACACGUUUGUGGUGUGUAAAAUAAGAAAUAAGAAAAAAGACUUUGUAUCUAUAACCUAGUUUCUCUCGACUGAACUGAAGUAAACCUCGGUCAAGGACACUCACUUUCCCAGUCAGCCCAGUUCAAAUGAUCAACCCUCCAGUCAUGAAGUCAUUUCCUCCAGGCUACAGCUGCCCCCAUAAUUAUGUUCUGCUCAUUCAGGAGAACAGAAGGUUGUUCUCACAGUGUGUAUACAGUAAGUGUUGCAUGUUUUGACAGAUAUGUUUGUGUUGCUCUGCCCAGACUCCUCUCACAGAAAUAACAUACCUGUUUGUGGUAAAAGAGAUCUGUAU